UAGAAACCUGGUCAUAAAAAAAGAAAAAGAAUGGCGUCCAUUUACAUAAUGCUUUGUUUGCAUUUUGCAAGUUUGGGUUGAACCCGCAGAAACCCCUCCUUCCUGUCCUAGUGUCAUCGUAGUCGCAGCCUUCCCGUCAGGCAUUUAAGACAAUGGCGUGUUUCUUUGGGGGGGGCCUCACUUAUUCAGGGGUGCCCGGGAGUGUUUUGGGGAGUUUCUGCGGUUUUCCCCGUUACUGUUCACUUUCCGGCUGCAGCCUUUCGCCCUCUUCCUUGCUUGGUGCAGCCGCCGCACCCCCGCUCUUUCCGGGGGCGGCUCCCUAACGGGGUCCCGCCAUCUUGGAAGGCCUUUUCUGCCGGAUGUCGCUGGCGCAUGUUUCUCUCGCUGGGGAAAGAUCGCUCGAGACGCUAGUGUGUCUUGUUGUGGUUUCUGCCCAUUCCCCUUUCGGUUCAGGCAGAAAAGGCCGUGUGCGCAACCUGCUUCAGGAUCCCUCAGGGAAAGCGGCUAACGUGGCGGUCCCCCUGUACCCGCCCCCUCUCCUUCUCUGCGGGGGUGGCCGCCAUGUUUCCUAAACACAAAAUGGCGGCCCGUGGCCAGGAUACACCGCCAACGAAAAAUUGGGGUUGCCGUGAAAGCCCUAGAACGCUCCCUUUUCCGGCCCCCUCAUCGUGCUGGCGGGUCGGGGCCUUCCCCUCAAAGCGAGUGCGCUGACCACUCCGGGACAAGACCCCGCGGGCUGUCCCAAACCUCGGGGCAAAUUUUAAUACAUUUCCCCCCACCGAUUCGAAACGGGAACGCGAAUGACUGUAAAACAUGAAUUGACUUAGGCCCAAAGAGAUGAAGUGAAUAAUUCAAGGUCACACAGUGUCCAGGAUGGAAUCCAGACCUUCUGAUUUCCUUAUUGACCUGCACUGUCCUGUGGAUACUUGAGUGAAUUCCACACCACCCAUUUUACAGAUGAAGCCACUGAGACAUGGAGCUACUGACAAAAAUAAGUCACCGCCCCACCCCGUGGGGGCUCACAUAUGACUCUUCUCCCACUUGAGUGACCACAGCUUUAUUUACCAUCUACAAAUGGAUGCCGUUCAAAUCUCUCUCCAGACUGCUUAUGUAAACAACUCCACUGGGAUGGUUUGUGGACUUGGCAAAAUGCAGCCUCCUGCUCUUCCCACUUGCUCCUGAUCCAGUGUCCUGUCACAAACAGUACCACCACCUACGUAGUAGCCAGGCACAAGCCGAGUAGUCACUGUGAGAAGUGCAAUCUGUCCUACGUAUUUGAGAGCAAAUUUAUCUGGACCCUGUCUACCACAUUACUCAAAAUUUCACCCAAGACUGAAAAUCUUCCAUUCAAACUAGCAUGUCUGGUCACCUUGGACAACUUUCUUGGAUAAAUUCCAAGAAAUGGAGUGAUUGAGUUGAAGGAUAUGCACACUUAAAACGCUGAUUUUUGGAGCCAAACUACUCUUAAGAAUGUUGACUUCUACCAACACCAAAUAAGACUGCAUAUUUCUCCACAUCAUCAGUAAUGCUGGGUUGUGUGUUUUUAUUUUCCCCGUCUGAUAGGUGAAAAGUGUUCUUGCCAUUAUAACAUGGCAGUUGAGACUGUGACUCUGGGACCGGCCUGUUGGGGCCUGAAUUCCAAUUCAGCCAUUUACCUUGUAACCUUGAGUAAGUCAUUUAAGUACUGUCCCUCAGUAAAGUAGGAAUAGUGAUAACACCGAUUUCAUGAGGCAUAGAUCAAUUAAUCCAAGUAAAAUGCUUUGAGUAGUAACUAGACAUGGCAGUCAAUAAGUAUGAUUUAUUUUACAUUUCUUCAAAUAUUAAAGAUUGAACAUCUUCUCAAAUGUAUUUUCAACAUUUAUAUUGUUGCUUUGAAUCACUUAUGUCCUUUGGACAUUUUCCCUGUAAUAUUUUCUUAAUAAUUUGUAAGAGCUUAAGUGUUGUUGACUUUUAUGAUGCAGAAUUGUUGUUCCCAGUUUGUCAUUUAUCUUUCAACUGUUAAUGCAAUUUUUUUGCCUAGAAAACAUUUUUAGACAGAGUAAUCUUUUCUCUUAGUUUUUUCUGCUCAAUGUUUAGAAAAGGCAUACUUCCCUCUCUCAAAAGUAUAAAAAUAGUUACUCAUUCUCUUUGAGUACUGUGUAUGUAUAUUUUUAAAUCUUUAAAUUUUAAUAUUUAAGUCUUUAAUCCAUCUGGAAUUUGUUUUUAUAUGAAGAUAGCAGUUGAGAUCUGGCUCUAAUUUCUUUUCAGUUGGAUGGUAUCUCAAACCCAUUUUUUGAGAAAGAAGAAAUGGGAGCAGCAGCUUUUAAUCUAUUCUUCCUUCCCCUAAAUUAGAAGUAGAAUAUCCUAGAGAUGGCAGAUCUCCAUUUCAGAGAAUGAAUUUAAUGUUUGGAGUCAGUCAGUAGUCAUUCAGUUGCUAAGCUGUGGGAUGAAUAUGCUAUGUAAAGCACUUUGGGAUCAGAACUACAGCUCAGAUCUGAGUGCUAAUACUGCUGAACACACUGGUGCAGCUUCUCUGCUGGCUCUAGCAGUUCCUCCUAAGUGGAUCCUAAUUUGGGGAUAGCUUUGAAGGGGUCAUUCUUAGUUUGGAAUGAUAAGCUUUGUUUCUGUUUCAAGAAACAAAGGAAGUGACUAUAGCAGGUAUUUCCUCACUCCAGCUUGGGGGUAUUGAUCAGGUAUUGAUAGGAGAUAUUGAAUGGUAAUAAACCCAUUGUGUUCUAGCUCUGCCCUCAUCAGCCCUUAUUGGAAGUCAAGUCCCAUCUAGUCUUUUGCUUCUGACUCAAAAUGGAGGGAGGAUGAUUCCUAAUAACAGGGCAUUCACGUAUCCCAUGGUAGCUACUGUCUGCCAGAGAUGAUAAAGAAGGGUAGCUAACUCUUCCAUGGGCCUAUAUUAUGUGCCAGGAACUCUUCUAAGCACCUUACACAUAUAUAAACUCUUCAUCAGGUAGGUGCUCUGUACUGGAUUGAAUAGUAUCUCCCCUAGAACUUAUGUCCAUAGUUGUUAUUUGGACAUAGUCUUUAUAGAUGUAAUCAAGAUUAAAUCAUAUUGGAUUAGGGUGGGCCUUAAUCCAACGACUGGUGUUCGUUUGAAGAAAGGGAGACACACACAUGCAGGGAGGGCAGCCAUGUGAAGAUGGAAGCAGAGAUUGGAGAAAUGCUGCUACAAACCAAGGAAUGACAGGCAUUACUGGCAACCACCAGAAGCUGCAAGAGGCAAGAAAUGAUUCUUCCCUAGAGCCUUCAGAGGGAACAUGGCCCUGCUAACAUCUUGACUUUGGACUCUAAGAGAAUAAAUUUAUGUUGUUUAAAGCCACCCAGUUUGUAGUAUUUGUUUCGGCAGCCCUGGGAAACCCAUACAUACUCUCUUUAUCAUCUCCAUUUUCAGAUAAGGAAACUGAGGCCCAGAGAGGUCAAAUAUUUGAUGAUCUCUCUAGGUCACUGCUCUGCUGGCUGGGCACUUACUCUGAAGAUCCUCCUGUUGGCUGUUGUCCUUCCCCACCUUCACUAAGGCCAUCUGCUUUGUGGUGGUGCUGGGGCUGAGCUGCUGGAUGGUCCCUUUCCCAACACAGCAGGCCACAGCUUUUCACCAUUCUUGCCUACCGCACACCCUGAAGUGAAACUCCUCUCAGAAGACUUCUGGCUGUAGCCUGAUCAUUUCAGCAGAUCUCCUCCUAGUCCCACCCCUCCAGCAUCCCAGAAGAGGUUUCCUUCCUCUGCGUCCCAUUACUGGCUGUGGAAUCUUGUCUAUUUUCCAAAACAGGCUUUUUGCUUUGGCUCCUGCUCUUUUUCUCAACUGUUCUCACUAGACUGUGGGCCCUAUGAACUCAAACCAUACCUGUUUUGUUUGCUGCUGUAUCCCAGGACCAAGCCAAGACAUGGCACUUAAUAGCUCUUCAAGAUAUGUUUAUUGAAUGAAGAAAUGAAUAUUGACCUUGAAGCUUUGUAAACCUGAUUUUCCUUGCUUCUUGCUGAAGGAAAAGACCAGAUUAAGAACUUCAGAGUUCCUAAGCAAUAAAAAGAUUAUGAUGUCCCUCAUACUUUCAGCUCUCAGUAUGUAGUUCAAAAACAGUAUUAAACAUAAAGUAUAAGGAAAUCCAGCAAAAUUCUGCUUUUUUUCCAUGGUGACACUUGGAUACAUAUAAUUUAAAACAUUUGUUACUGUCUCUGCUUGGCCAUUUCCGUAAGCAUAUGCUAUGGGAUAAUCCUGCCUGGACCAGCCCCUCCCUCACCUUGGACUUCACCUUCAUUUCUUCUUUACUCCACCUGUUGAAGCUGCCAGCCAGCCCCUUUCACCUAACAGGAGUGCCUGGCUCCUGAGACUCAACCUGGGUUAGUGCCCCAGGCUCCUUGGGACUUGCCAAGAAAGUCAAGUAGAACAUGCAUACUCCUAGAGAAUUCCUCAGAAUGAGAAUCCCUAUGCUGAAUAGUGAUUUGUAGUCAGCAUAGCACAUUGUGCCAAGUGAUUACACUUAGGCUGUUGUUAACCAUGUCUGCUUCUGUGAUCCUGUAUGUUGUAAAGCUCAGACAUUUGCCUGUGGCCCUCCUUUCUGGAUCACUAAGAAGUCAAGAUGUAAGCCUACUUCUGCCUCCUGUAAAUCGGGGCCUUGUUAAGAUCCUUUGGAAAAAUGAGAAGUCGAAAGGCAGGAAAGGACAUUAAA